GAUGAACGCUGGCGGCGUGCCUAAUACAUGCAAGUCGAGCGAACGGACGAGACGCUUGCUUCUCUGAUGUUAGCGGCGGACGGGUGAGUAACACGUGGAUAACCUACCUAUCAGACUGGGAUAACUUCGGGAAACCGGCGCUAAUCCCGGAUAAUAUUUUGAACCGCAUUGUUCAAUAGUGAAAGACGGUCUUGCUGUCACUUAUAGAUGCAUCCGCGCUUCAUUAGCUAGUUGGUAAGGUAACGGCUUACCAAGGCAACGAUGCAUAGCCGACCUGAGAGAGUGAUCGGCCACACUGGAACUGGGACACGGUCAAGACUCCUAAGGGAGGCAGCAGUAGGGAAUCUUCCGCAAUGGGCGAAAGCCUGACGGAGCAACGCCGAGUGAGUGAUGAAGGUCUUCGGAUCGUAAAACUCUGUUAUUAGGGAAGAACAUAUGUGUAAGUAACUGUGCACAUCUUGACGGUACCUAAUCAGAAAGCCACGGCUAACUACGUG
rnacentral:rRNA from 1 species